rnacentral:rRNA from 1 species
UGGGGAAUAUUGCACAAUGGGCGCAAGCCUGAUGCAGCCAUGCCGCGUGUAUGAAGAAGGCCUUGGGUUGUAAAGUACUUUCAGCGGGGAGGAAGGUGUUGUGGUUAAUAACCGCAGCAAUUGACGUUACCCGCAGAAGAAGCACCGGCUAACUCCGUGCCAC